rnacentral:rRNA from 1 species
GACGGAUGGGGCUAGCGUUGUUCGGAAUUACUGGGCGUAUAGGGCGCGUAGGCGGCCAUUUAAGUUAGACGUGAAAGCCCUGGGCUUAACCCAGGAAUUGCGUUUAAUACUGGAUGGCUAGAGUUUGGUAGAGGAAAGCGGAAUUCCUAGUGUAGAGGUGAAAUUCGUAGAUAUUAGGAAGAACACCAAUGGCGAAGGCAGCUCUCUGGGACGGUACUGACGCUGAGACGCGAAAGCGUGGGGAGCGAACAGG